GACGAACGCUGGCGGCGUGCUUAACACAUGCAAGUCGAACGGACAGGUCCUGCUCUUGUUGGUUGCUCGUUUGCCGCACGCGUGUGUAUUACGUGUGUAUCCUGCCCCUGUCUUUCUGAUAACUUUACGAAACUCGGGCUAAUACCCCGUAUGAGCUCCUGCUCCAUAUUGUUGGUUGGUAAGUUUCGGCGUUUGUGGCUGUACUCGCGGCUUCUCAGCCUGUUGGUGGGGUUGUGGCUUUCCAAGGUUUUGAAGGGUAGCCGGCCUGAGGGGGGGACCGGACACAUGGGGACUGAGGUACGGCCCAGACUCCUACGGGAGGCAGCAGUGGGGAAUAUGGCAAAAUGGGCGGAAGCCUGAUGCAGCAACGCCGCGUGCGGGAUGACGGCCUUCGGGUUGUAAACCGCUUUCGCCUGUGACGAAGCGUGAGUGACGGUAAUGGGUAAAGAAGCACCGGCUAACUACGUG
rnacentral:rRNA from 1 species